rnacentral:tRNA from 1 species
GCGGGAAUAGCUCAGUUGGUAGAGCACGACCUUGCCAAGGUCGGGGUCGCGAGUUCGAGUCUCGUUUCCCGGAGUUCGAGUCUCGUUUCCCGCUCCA